rnacentral:rRNA from 1 species
GAUAAGCGCUGGAAACGGCGUCUAAUACUGGAUAUGAGCCUCUUCCGCAUGGUGGGGGUUGGAAAGAUUUUUUGGUCUGGGAUGGGCUCGCGGCCUAUCAGCUUGUUGGUGAGGUAAUGGCUCACCAAGGCGUCGACGGGUAGCCGGCCUGAGAGGGUGACCGGCCACACUGGGACUGAGACACGGCCCAGACUCCUACGGGAGGCAGCAGUGGGGAAUAUUGCACAAUGGGCGAAAGCCUGAUGCAGCAACGCCGCGUGAGGGAUGACGGCCUUCGGGUUGUAAACCUCUUUUAGCAGGGAAGAAGCGAAAGUGACGGUACCUGCAGAAAAAGCGCCGGCUAACUACGUGCCAGCAGCCGCGGUAAUACGUAGGGCGCAAGCGUUAUCCGGAAUUAUUGGGCGUAAAGAGCUCGUAGGCGGUUUGUCGCGUCUGCUGUGAAAUCCCGAGGCUCAACCUCGGGCCUGCAGUGGGUACGGGCAGACUAGAGUGCGGUAGGGGAGAUUGGAAUUCCUGGUGUAGCGGUGGAAUGCGCAGAUAUCAGGAGGAACACCGAUGGCGAAGGCAGAUCUCUGGGCCGUAACUGACGCUGAGGAGCGAAAGGGUGGGGAGCAAACAGGCUUAGAUACCCUGGUAGUCCACCCCGUAAACGUUGGGAACUAGUUG